GAUGAACGCUGGCGGCGUGCUUAACACAUGCAAGUCGAACGGAAAGGCCCAAGCUUGCUUGGGUACUCGAGUGGCGAACGGGUGAGUAACACGUGGGUGAUCUGCCCUGCACUUCGGGAUAAGCCUGGGAAACUGGGUCUAAUACCGGAUAGGACCACAUUUUGGAUGGUGUGGUGGAAAGUUUUUCGGUGUGGGAUGAGCUCGCGGCCUAUCAGCUUGUUGGUGGGGUAAUGGCCUACCAAGGCGUCGACGGGUAGCCGGCCUGAGAGGGUGUACGGCCACAUUGGGACUGAGAUACGGCCCAGACUCCUACGGGAGGCAGCAGUGGGGAAUAUUGCACAAUGGGCGCAAGCCUGAUGCAGCGACGCCGCGUGGGGGAUGACGGCCUUCGGGUUGUAAACUCCUUUCGCUAGGGACGAAGCGUUUUUGUGACGGUACCUGGAGAAGAGGCACCGGCUAACUACGUG
rnacentral:rRNA from 1 species